UUAUUUUCCUGCAGCUGAGAUGUAGACAUUAAAACACUGUUUCAGAGCCAGUGGAUAUUCCACACUCAAAAAUAUUAAUUUCUCGGCCUUUUAUGUCCCUUUUCAAAAAUAUAAAAUACAACUAAUUUAUGGAUUUAGAGCAGAUAUUUAUUUUCGUUGAGCAUUAUGGAAAACCUGCCUACACUUUGGACUGGCUUCGGCUGAGAAACAAUGUGCGGUCUCUCUCUGGUGCUCAAAUGUCCCGCAGGAGCGAAUGCACCACCAUGGAAAGGUGCAUGCAGGCCUUGAUUAUGCUGAUUAGUUUCACCUGUUGGUGUGGUGUAAAACAAGGACAGAAAAUUGAGCAAAUGCAGAGAGGAUACACAGUUGUGAGUUUUUGCAAGAAAACAACUUGCAGCCAGGAAAAAAAAAAAGCAACUUUAAACAAAACUGGGCUGAAAACUUUUCACUGGGCCGUCUGCCCAGUAAGGGACUGGAUGGAGCUGGUGGGGCCACCAGAUGAGAAGCUGCUUUCGGAGGGCUUAGUAAAACGGAGGUCCAGUCCAUGACAAUGCUUCCACUGUGGAAAUGAGAAAACCCUACAGAUGGAUGGAAAGAAAGCAUUAUUACUUCACACUGAAGACUGAUGGGAAAAAAAGACAAACAAGGAAGGACACGAGAAAGAAGACAGGAUGCAAGGAGACAAAACCAUAAGAGCACAUGCUAAAUAUCGGAGAAUAUUGGCUGAAAACCUGAAAGAUGCUGUCGAAGAAUUGAAACUGAGGCAGACGUUCACCAUCCUGCAUCAAUCAGUGUGUUGGAAUGGACCAGACGCAAAUCAAAAUGAGGAUCUGUGGCAAAGCUUGAAAAUCGUCAUACAGUUCAGUAGAGCUUGGGUUGUGUUGCAAAAAAUGUAAUUACUUAGAUGUGCAUCUCUGGGAGAGAUGUACAUAAAGACUUGCAGAUGUAGUUGCAGCAAACUGCGGCUCUGUAAAGUAAUGAGAAUGUGGCAUCGGCCAUUUUCUAUGGCGUAAUAUGUUAAACUUUUCAAAGUUUUCAGAUUUAAAACUGUGAAGCAUUUUUUUCCCCUUCUCUUCUCAAUUAUACACAACUUUGUACACAAUAUAUUGAAGUCGGGGGAUGGGACGUGACAAAAUGUAAAAACGUUAAAGUGGUAUGAGUACUUUUUCUAUCGCACUUUCUACAGAAAUGAGGUGUUGAGAUUGCUACUGGCUGUGUUUAUGUGAAGGUGGCUGAGCAAAACGAACCAUAAUGCAGGAUGAAGCCUUUUAAGAGGUCCUGGCUGGGUGAAUAUGCAUCUUUGAAGGUCAACAUUUUAGUCUGCAAAUUUUUUUUACUGCAGUGGGGAUAAUAUUAUGGUAGCUGGCUGUGCUGAAUAAAUAGGUUCUGAUGAACUCUGCACAACCUGAGCCACUGGGCAAAUUUUAUAUACAGUGAAUAAAGUUCUCAUUUGUGGUUGUACGCUGGCUUGUAAGAACAGCACACCGAGCGAAGUGGAUGGGGUUAGAGGCUAAGAUGUUUUCUGAGCUCGAGGGGGGGUAACACUGAGAGCUUGCAGGAGAGGGAAAAAUGUACUCAUGUCAUACAGUUCUCUCAGUUUUCUGACACUCUACCCCAGGUAAACUGGUCCCCUCUGGCCGGUUCUUGGAUUAGCGACCGCUAGCCAAAAUCAACAAGACGGCCAGAGGCGAAACGGCUUCUCUCAUUUGCACCAAAGUCGCUAAUGCCUCACAAGACCCACAGAGUGGCAGCUCAUUUUUGCAAAUAAAAGGUAUGUUCAAACAAAUGUCAGUUUGAAAAAUAUGACCCAAGAUGUAUUAAUUUCUUUGUGGGAGAUCGACUGGCAAAAGCCCAUUAUGACCUUUUGGAUUCGUGAAGCAAAGGGUUGCUUUAAAAUAAAUUAUUUUCUCUCCAUA